rnacentral:pre_miRNA from 1 species
ACAACCGGUGGACCGUCGGUCUACCGAGCAAUAUUACCCGCUCGGUGGAAGAUCUUCCCUUCGUCGU